GGUGCUCGAAAGAGAGCCUGGACACAGGUGCUGCAUGGCCGUCGUCAGCUCGUGUCGUGAGAUGUUGGGUUAAGUCCCGCAACGAGCGCAACCCUUGUCAUUAGUUGCUACGAAAGGGCACUCUAAUGAGACUGCCGGUGACAAACCGGAGGAAGGUGGGGAUGACGUCAGGUCCUCAUGGCCCUUAUGGGUAGGGCUACACACGUCAUACAAUGGCCGGUACAGAGGGCUGCCAACCCGCGAGGGGGAGCCAAUCCCAGAAAACCGGUCGUAGUCCGGAUCGUAGUCUGCAACUCGACUGCGUGAAGUCGGAAUCGCUAGUAAUCGCGGAUCAGCUUGCCGCGGUGAAUACGUUCCCGGGUCUUGUACACACCGCCCGUCACACCAUGGGAG
rnacentral:rRNA from 1 species